rnacentral:rRNA from 1 species
ACUCCUACGGGAGGCAGCAGUGGGGAAUAUUGCACAAUGGGCGCAAGCCUGAUGCAGCCAUGCCGCGUGUAUGAAGAAGGCCUUCGGGUUGUAAAGUACUUUUCAGCAGUGAGGAAGGUGGGUAUGUUAAUAGCAUAUUCAUUUGACGUUAGCUGCAGAAGAAGCACCGGCUAACUCCGUGCCAGCAGCCGCGGUAAUACGGAGGGUGCGAGCGUUAAUCGGAAUUACUGGGCGUAAAGCGCAUGCAGGUGGUUUGUUAAGUCAGAUGUGAAAGCCCGGGGCUCAACCUCGGAAUUGCAUUUGAAACUGGCAAACUAGAGUACUGUAGAGGGGGGUAGAAUUUCAGGUGUAGCGGUGAAAUGCGUAGAGAUCUGAAGGAAUACCGGUGGCGAAGGCGGCCCCCUGGACAGAUACUGACACUCAGAUAGCGAAAGCGUGGGGAGCAAACAGGAUUAGAUACCCUGUAGGUCAGC